GCCGCAACCACCGGAAGUUUGCCGCUGGUUCGAAUUUCGACCAUCCAUAUAACCACCGUCGCAAUCCUCCAUAAACCUUUGUUCGCCAGGAGCCUUCGGUCACGCCGCACCACCGUUGUAGUACCACCGAUAGCCGCCGAACCAGCGUCGGUACGGCCGUGACCAUCUCGUGCGAUUCGCAUUCCGUUCGAGUCAUUCCGACUCACGAUCAGCCGAACGCAAACUGUGAAUCACCGUUGCUGCUCACCUCAGUUCAGUUCCGUUUGACUACCCGCUACGGCUUCUCAUUAGUCUCCAUUCAAAUUUGUUUGGUGAUUAAGUUCCGACACCCAACUUGUGCUCUGUUAUGUUUGAGUCAUGUCAACAAGAGCACAAACGAGGAAGUGUCAUGGGUCGAAGGUAAACAUGGAAGCUAUGUGCA
rnacentral:lncRNA from 1 species